rnacentral:rRNA from 1 species
CGGCGAGGGGAGUGAAAAAGAACCUGAAACCGUGUACGUACAAGCAGUGGGAGCCCCACCACUAAGCCAGUGGUGAACUCCACAUACGCAUCCUUUGCUGAGGAUACGGUUAACGGAGCGAAAGCGACGUUCAACCGCAAAAGAAGCAGAGGGGGCUUAGUGGUGGGGUGACUGCGUACCUUUUGUAUAAUGGGUCAGCGACUUAUAUUCUGUAGCAAGGUUAACCGAAUAGGGGAGCCGGAGGGAAACCGAGUCUUAAUUGGGCGUUAAGUUGCAGGGUAUAGACCCGAAACCCGGUGAUCUAGCCAUGGGCAGGUUGAAGGUUGGGUAACACUAACUGGAGGACCGAACCGACUAAUGUUGAAAAAUUAGCGGAUGACCUGUGGCUGGGGGUGAAAGGCCAAUCAAACCGGGAGAUAGCUGGUUCUCCCCGAAAGCUAUUUAGGUAGCGCCUCGUGAAUUCAUCUCCGGGGGUAGAGCACUGUUUCGGCUAGGGGGCCAUCCCGGCUUACCAACCCGAUGCAAACUGCGAAUACCGGAGAAUGUUAUCACGGGAGACACACGGCGGGUGCUAACGUCCGUCGUGAAGAGGGAAACAACCCAGACCGCCAGCUAAGGUCCCAAAGUCAUGGUUAAGUGGGAAACGAUGUGGGAAGGCCCAGACAGCCAGGAUGUUGGCUUAGAAGCAGCCAUCAUUUAAAGAAAGCGUAAUAGCUCACUGGUCGAGUCGGCCUGCGCGGAAGAUGUAACGGGGCUAAACCAUGCACCGAAGCUGCGGCAGCGAACGUAUCACUUAAAGCGAUUCAGCGGGUUACGAUUGACGGAGCGAAGCGACGUCAAAGCGUAUACAAAGUCGAGUCGGUUUAAGGAUACGUUCGUUGGGUAGGGGAGCGUUCUGUAAGCCUGUGAAGGUGGCCUGUGAGGGUUGCUGGAGGUAUCAGAAGUGCGAAUGCUGACAUAAGUAACGAUAAAGCGGGUGAAAAGCCCGCUCGCCGGAAGACCAAGGGUUCCUGUCCAACGUUAAUCGGGGCAGGGUGAGUCGACCCCUAAGGCGAGGCCGAAAGGCGUAGUCGAUGGGAAACGGGUUAAUAUUCCCGUACUUGGUGUUACUGCGAAGGGGGGACGGAGAAGGCUAUGUUGGCCGGGCGACGGUUGUCCCGGUUUAAGCGUGUAGGUGUGUGUUCCAGGUAAAUCCGGUUCACUUUAACACUGAGGCGUGAUGACGAGGCACUACGGUGCUGAAGUAACAAAUGCCCUGCUUCCAGGAAAAGCCUCUAAGCAUCAGGUAACAUCAAAUCGUACCCCAAACCGACACAGGUGGUCAGGUAGAGAAUACCAAGGCGCUUGAGAGAACUCGGGUGAAGGAACUAGGCAAAAUGGUGCCGUAACUUCGGGAGAAGGCACGCUGACACGUAGGUGAAGUGAUUUACUCACGGAGCUGAAGUCAGUCGAAGAUACCAGCUGGCUGCAACUGUUUAUUAAAAACACAGCACUGUGCAAACACGAAAGUGGACGUAUACGGUGUGACGCCUGCCCGGUGCCGGAAGGUUAAUUGAUGGGGUCAGCGCAAGCGAAGCUCCUGAUCGAAGCCCCGGUAAACGGCGGCCGUAACUAUAACGGUCCUAAGGUAGCGAAAUUCCUUGUCGGGUAAGUUCCGACCUGCACGAAUGGCGUAAUGAUGGCCAGGCUGUCUCCACCCGAGACUCAGUGAAAUUGAACUCGCUGUGAAGAUGCAGUGUACCCGCGGCAAGACGGAAAGACCCCGUGAACCUUUACUAUAGCUUGACACUGAACAUUGAGCCUUGAUGUGUAG